GCUACUACCGAUUGAAUGGUUUAGUGAGGACUCCUGAUUGGCGCCGCCGCCCCGGCAACGGAGCAGCGGACUGCCGAAAAGUUGUUCAAACUUGAUCAUUUAGAGGAAGUAAAAGUCGUAACAAGGUGUCCGUAGGUGAACCUGCAGAAGGAUCAAGAUCGGAAGAGCGUCGUUGCGGGCAAGAGUGUCGCUCUCGGCGGUCGCCGUCGCCUUCCCAAACACAGAUCCCCGUAUUGCCUCACCGCUACCGCUGCCGACUCCCGUCGUACGUUCGCCC
rnacentral:misc_RNA from 1 species